ensembl:lncRNA
UACAGAGCUUAAAAGUUUUUUCUUAUCCUUAUAAAAGUUAUUUGAGAAAUUAUAAGACUAUAAGAGAGAUUGUAAUAGUCGUGGGCCAUAGUGGAAAAUGUAGCUAGCCCUCAUUAUUUUUUGCAUACUAAGCGACCCCUCUCUUUCAGAUCUUUGACUCAUUAACAGAUCGAAUUGUCAAAGAUGGAGUCUUUGAGUUGGGGAAUGAAUCACUGUCCUAACAACAAUAUACCUUGUAAUUGUGUGUUGAAAUUUUACUUGACUGUAUUUUGCUGCAUAAAAUUGUGUGUCUCUUGGGCUUCUCCCCUUAUUCCCUUUGUUCCCUUUAAAUCAUAUGAAGGCAUUCAUAAUAGUUUGGGGUAGAUAACAAAUGAAGAAUUAGUCUUUGUUUUCAACUGGAAAUUAUAAAAAAAAUUAUACCCAUGUUUAUUUAUAAAAAUCACCUUAUGUAUGAAUUAAACUAAUAUGGUCCAAAAGAAGGUUUGGUUCAUUUGAAAUAAUAAAUAAAUACUCUAAUACAGAUAAAAAUCAUGUACUUAGGGUAUUGGCAGAAAGCACAAGUUAGGAUGAUUUCAGAAGUCUGGUCUUGAAGGAUGAGUUGAGUUUUAAUAGGAGGAGAAUGUGUAAAGAGCCAUAUGAGUGAGCAGUGGCCCAAAGCCAUGAACAUCAAUGGCUCAUUUAAGGAAUGAAUGCCAUUAGAUGGGCUAGUGAGAGCACAGGGUAUGAUAUUAUGGAAAAUAAAGUUGGAAAAGCUGAAGGAUUGAUUUUCUUCCAUCAACUCUCAAGAUCCCAUUCCCCAUUCAAUCUCUGUGCUGCAGUAAGAGCAAUCUUAAACAGUAUAAAUCACACACACACACACACACACACACACACGUCCCUCAGGAAAAAUUUCAAGCUCUUGAGAAGAUCACAUGAGCCCCUUCAUGACCUGGCCCUUGCUUAUUUCUUCCAGGACUUCUCUCACUUCUAUCCAGCUACUCCCGUCAGCAAAUGAACCUCCAAAGCAGCACAUGGAGCACUGCAUAGACUAUUUCCUCACUGCGUAACUCCUCCCUGUCUCCUCUUUACCUGACUAACUUAUAGUCAUCCUUCAAUACUCAAAUUGAAUUUUACUUGCCCUGAAAAGAUUUCCAUGACUAUCCACCACCUCCCUGCCUGUGAGACUGAGUUAGGUGCCCUUUUUAAUGUCUUUCGCCCAUCACAGCACUUACCAUACUGCGUUGUAAUUGCCUGUGUACUUGUCUGUAUAACUACUAGACUGUAAGCUCCUUGAGGGCAGGGACUGUGUCUAUCAUGUUCACAGUUGUAUCCCCAGCACCCAGCACAGUGCCUGGCAUAUUGUAGGUGCUUAAUAAAUAUUUGUUGAAUGAA